rnacentral:rRNA from 1 species
AGCGAACGCUGGCGGCAGGCCUAACACAUGCAAGUCGAACGAACUCUUCGGAGUUAGUGGCGGACGGGUGAGUAACACGUGGGAACGUGCCUUUAGGUUCGGAAUAACUCAGGGAAACUUGUGCUAAUACCGAAUGUGCCCUUCGGGGGAAAGAUUUAUCGCCUUUAGAGCGGCCCGCGUCUGUUUAGCUAGUUGGUGAGGUAAAGGCUCACCAAGGCGACGAUCAGUAGCUGGUCUGAGAGGAUGAUCAGCCACAUUGGGACUGAGACACGGCCCAAACUCCUACGGGGGGCAGCAGUGGGGAAUCUUGCGCAAGGGGCGAAAGCCUGACGCAGCCAUGCCGCGUGAAUGAUGAAGGGCUUAGGAUUGUAAAAUUCUUUCACCGGGGACGAUAAUGACGGUACCCGGAGAAGAAGCCCCGGCUAACUUCGUG